GCAAAGUAUUGGAAGACACAAGAGCUCCCCACACUGGAGGAAUGGCAGAUGAAAAUGAUGGACUAUAUGGAAUUGGCGGAAAUGACUGGCAGAAUCCGAGACCAGGGAGAAGAGUCGGUGGAAGAAGAUUGGAAGAAAUUCAAAGAUUACUUACAGAAAUAUUGCAAAAUUAAUGAAUGUUAGAGUGAUGUUGGAUUGAAAUUAAGUGGCUUCUAGCUGUACAGGUUUUAAAAUUAUAUAUAGAUCAAGAUUAAGGAUUAGGAUUAAAAAGGUUCAAAGAAUGGAAAAUUGGUUUUUAAUAGGUAAAAAUUUAAUGUUAUAUUAUAUUAAGAUUAAGGAUUGGGAUUAAAAAGGAGGGAAAGGAAUUGCUGGACAAACAAACUGAACUGGAAUACAAAAGAGGGAGGUAUGAGGAGGUCCGGGAAAUAAGUAAAUGUAAAAGUAGUGAUGAAAAGAUGGAAUUGUUUUUAACUGUUUUUAUUCUUUUUUCUUUU